CAGCCGCCGCGGGAAUACGGAGGGCGCGAGCGUUACCCGGAUUUACUGGGCGUAAAGGGCGUGUAGGCGGCCUGGGGCGUCCCAUGUGAAAGGCCACGGCUCAACCGUGGAGGAGCGUGGGAUACGCUCAGGCUAGAGGGUGGGAGAGGGUGGUGGAAUUCCAGGAGUAGCGGUGAAAUGCGCAGAUACCGGGAGGAACGCCGAUGGCGAAGGCAGCCACCUGGUCCACUUCUGACGCUGAGGCGCGGAAGCGUGGGGAGCAAACCGGAUUAGAUACCCCCGUAGUCCCUGUCUCUUAUAC
rnacentral:rRNA from 1 species